CAAUAUGUCAGCGGCAGACGGGUGAGUAACGCGUGGGAACGUACCUUUUGGUUCGGAACAACACAGGGAAACUUGUGCUAAUACCGGAUAAGCCCUUACGGGGAAAGAUUUAUCGCCGAAAGAUCGGCCCGCGUCUGAUUAGCUAGUUGGUGAGGUAAUGGCUCACUAAGGCGACGAUCAGUAGCUGGUCUGAGAGGAUGAUCAGCCACAUUGGGACUGAGACACGGCCCAA
rnacentral:rRNA from 1 species